AUUGAACGCUGGCGGCAUGCUUUACACAUGCAAGUCGAACGGUGACAGGCCGCAAGGUGCUGACGAGUGGCGAACGGGUGAGUAAUGCAUCGGAACGUGCCCAGUCGUGGGGAUAACGCAGCGAAAGCUGUGCUAAUACCGCAUACGAUCUAUGGAUGAAAGCGGGGGACCGUAAGGCCUCGCGCGAUUGGAGCGGCCGAUGUCAGACUAGGUAGUUGGUGGGGUAAAGGCUCACCAAGCCAACGAUCUGUAGCUGGUCUGAGAGGACGACCAGCCACACUGGGACUGAGACACGGCCCAGACUCCUACGGGAGGCAGCAGUGGGGAAUUUUGGACAGUGGGAGCAAGCCUGAUCCAGCAAUGCCGCGUGCAGGAAGAAGGCCUUCGGGUUGUAAACUGCUUUUGUACGGAACGAAAAGGUUUGGGUUAAUACCCUGGGCCGAUGACGGUACCGUAAGAAUAAGCACCGGCUAACUACGUGCCAGCCGCCGCCGUAAUAC
rnacentral:rRNA from 1 species